UAACAUUGCAAAUAUUUAAGAAAAAAAUUGUUUAAAAAAAUAUAGAACACCGCGCGGCAGAGUCGUAAAAAAUUCUUAGCCAAUUAUGAACAUCAAAAACGAGUUUUAUAGGUUGCUAGUGUCCUGUAAGCUGUAACUAAUAAGCAUGGAGUUUUCAUUAGAUAUAGUAUAUCAUCAUAUCAGCUCAUAUAUGUCCCCACCGAGGGGCUCGAGCCUACCCUGCAUUAGGGUGAUCGGGCCUUAGUCGAUCACGCGAGCCCAGUGCGGGUUGGUCGACUUCACACACAAGCUUCGAGUUUCCUCGCAGCCGUGUGCAGGUUUCCUCACGAUGUUUUCCUUCACCGUAAGAGCGUCGAAUAAACGUACAUAUGAAAUCGAGAUUCGAAAACACAUUGGUAUGCGGCCAGGAUUCGAACCACGACCUCCCAUGCACAGGAGGUAGCGGUCUUAAGCAUUACGCCACCGACGCUCUCUAUAUAUAGUAUAUAGCUCAAUUUUAAUAAUUAUUUGAUAGAAGACAUUUUUUAUCGUGUGUAUAAGCAUAUUUAAACUUAUGGCUCAGCUGGGCACGAUUUCAAGUGACCCAAAAUCUAUAAAGAAAUUAAACAAACAGUAUAGAAUUUUACUUAAAAAUGUUUAUUAUUUACAGGGGUCGUACAAAAAGUGCGGAUGACGUCAAACCACUUAUAGGAUGAUUUCAAAUAGUAUUAUUUCAAAUAGUAUUUUUGAUUUUCAUAAACAAUUAUCACUUAUCAUUUAUAGUGAGUAUACCUCUUUAUUAAACGAUAUCGCCACUUGAAAUGAGUAAGGUACGUUUUUGACUGACACAUUGUCAAUCAGAUGAACAAUAAAUUGACUUCGUUAUUGUUUAGCUAUUGUAUCUUCACGAUUAUAUUUAGCUAAAAUUUAUAUUUACUAAUGUACAAUAAGAAAAAGCUCUAAAAUGUCAUCUUUACUCGAAUAUUGUGGCAAUCCCACAGACUUGUUCUAACUAAUAGAGCAGCUUUCAUCGGGAUUUUAACGGGAAAGGAAAAAAAAGUGCAAUAGAUGCAUGGAACGCAUUUCCCAAUGCCACAGAAGGGUUUCUGGCAGCAUAUGAGGGGAGUACUAGCGAGGCGUUUACAGUAAUCGAAAAGUUUGUCGUCAUUUUAUAUGACAGAGCCACUUCAUUUACAACCGUAAACGAAGCCCGAAAGCACCUAUUCUCGAAAAAAGACCGCCAAUUGGAGAAUAUACCUCCGACGAAAGCUGCUCUAUACCAGCAUUUCCUGCGGGCAGUGUUCCAAGCAGUCCAUGUAUGGGGUCAGAUGUCACCGAAUCAAAAUCUUCCCUGUCCAUCUAACUGGGGAUGGAGAAAAGUCAGUGAAAGCUGGCAACCUACAUGGACAGACUUGCCCGUAGCUGCAGAUGCAUGCCUGGAAAUGAUCCGGUGCAGAUGCAAAAAGAGGUGCGGCGGCUCGAGGUGCCGGUGCUUUCAGCGGCAACUUAAGUGCACGGAGCUUUGCGAUUGUGGGGGACAAUGUAAAUAAUCAGGGGUCGGACAAAAAGUGCGGAUGACGUAAAAAUGACGUAAUCUUGCACACAGGAUGAUGUUUGAGUUUGUAUUUAAACUUCCGUGUGACAUGUAGUAACAAAGUAGUAUUAAUGAAGUAACAAAAUAAUCGUAAAUAAAUCCAUGGAAUUAAUAAUACAGGUGGUAGGGUGAUGUAGUGAAUAAAAUAAAUUUCACGAAACUUGUUACCAUAAGGUAUAAUUAUUUGAAAUUAGUUAGAACAAGUCUGUGGGAUUGCCACAAUAUUCGAGUAAAGAUGACAUUUUAGAGCUUUUUCUUAUUGUACAUUAGUAAAUAUAAAUUUUAGCUAAAUAUAAUCGUGAAGAUACAAUAGCUAAACAAUAACGAAGUCAAUUUAUUGUUCAUCUGAUUGACAAUGUGUCAGUCAAAAACGUACCUUACUCAUUUCAAGUGGCGAUAUCGUUUAAUAAAGAGGUAUACUCACUAUAAAUGAUAAGUGAUAAUUGUUUAUGAAAAUCAAAAAUACUAUUUGAAAUAAUACUAUUUGAAAUCAUCCUAUAAGUGGUUUGACGUCAUCCGCACUUUUUGUACGACCCCUGUAAAUAAUAAACAUUUUUAAGUAAAAUUCUAUACUGUUUGUUUAAUUUCUUUAUAGAUUUUGGGUCACUUGAAAUCGUGCCCAGCUGAGCCAUAAGUUUAAAUAUGCUUAUACACACGAUAAAAAAUGUCUUCUAUCAAAUAAUUAUUAAAAUUGAGCUAUAUACUAUAUAUAGAGAGCGUCGGUGGCGUAAUGCUUAAGACCGCUACCUCCUGUGCAUGGGAGGUCGUGGUUCGAAUCCUGGCCGCAUACCAAUGUGUUUUCGAAUCUCGAUUUCAUAUGUACGUUUAUUCGACGCUCUUACGGUGAAGGAAAACAUCGUGAGGAAACCUGCACACGGCUGCGAGGAAACUCGAAGCUUGUGUGUGAAGUCGACCAACCCGCACUGGGCUCGCGUGAUCGACUAAGGCCCGAUCACCCUAAUGCAGGGUAGGCUCGAGCCCCUCGGUGGGGACAUAUAUGAGCUGAUAUGAUGAUAUACUAUAUCUAAUGAAAACUCCAUGCUUAUUAGUUACAGCUUACAGGACACUAGCAACCUAUAAAACUCGUUUUUGAUGUUCAUAAUUGGCUAAGAAUUUUUUACGACUCUGCCGCGCGGUGUUCUAUAUUUUUUUAAACAACUUUUUUCUUAAAUAUUUGCAAUGUUACUUAUAUUUUUGGAAUCUGUAUUAAUGCGCCUUUUUAAAUAUAUUUUUUUUAAUCCGAUAUCGGUAAUCAUUAAAAAUUUAUUGACCUUGAAAGAUUUUUUUUACUCAAAAGAUUUUAGAUUUUGGGCCGUAUUUCAAUUUUUUUCUA